rnacentral:tRNA from 1 species
UCCCUGGUGGUCCAGUGGCUAAGACUCCGUGCUCCCAAUGUGGGCAGCCCGGGUUCAAUCCCUGGCCAGGGAA